CGUUUCAACUUUCCGUCUGUAAGUUGAAAAAGAGAACAUCAGACUAGCGAUACAGAAUGCCUGUCACUCGGCAAGCUGUAAAGCGAACCUCUAAAUGAGUUGACUAUGAACGUAGAUUUUUAAGUGGCGAUGUGUUUGGACGCGGGUUCGACUCCCGCCGUCUCCAUUC
rnacentral:tmRNA from 1 species